UACAGAGGUCUCAAGCGUUGUUCGGAUUCAUUGGGCGUAAAGGGUGCGUAGGCGGCGAGGUAAGUCGGAUGUGAAAUCCCGGGGCUCAACCCCGGAACUGCAUUCGAUACUGCGGUGCUUGAGGACUGGAGAGGAGACUGGAAUUCAUGGUGUAGCAGUGAAAUGCGUAGAGAUCAUGAGGAAGACCAGUGGCGAAGGCGGGUCUCUGGACAGUUCCUGACACUGAGGCACGAAGGCCAGGGGAGCAAACGGG
rnacentral:rRNA from 1 species